rnacentral:tRNA from 1 species
GUGGGUGUAGCUCAGUUGGUAGAGUGCUUGACUAACAUGCAAGCAGCUCUGGGUUUGAGCCCCAUAAUCACA